GGGUGUCUCCUUCCUCCCUCACCACUCCAUUUGCAUCCCUCUUGAAGCUGCGCACUAGGUCCACGACCUUCCCCGAUAGAGGAGGACCAUUCUUCUGUUAAGGGUAUACAAUUAGCUGUGCUCCCUUGCUAGAACCUCCAAACAAGCUCUCAAAGUCAAUUUUGUUAUACUCUUUACAAUAUAUUUAAAUAAUGGAGCACCAAAACACACAUACACACACAUAGCCUUGACACUACUUUUGU
rnacentral:snRNA from 1 species